AAUGAACGCUGGCGGCGUGCCUAACACAUGCAAGUCGGAUGUGCCGCAAGGUGCAUGGCAGACGGGUGAGUAACGCGUGGGGAACCUACCUCUUCGUGGGGAAUAACGAUCCGAAAGGAUUGGUAAUACCGCAUGAGACCGACGGCUGGGAUGCUGUCGGUGAAAGCUGGGGACCGGAAACGGCCUGGCGCGAGGAGAGGGUCCUGCGUCUGAUUAGCUAGUUGGUGGGGUAACGGCCUACCAAGGCAUCGAUCAGUAGCCGGCCUGAGAGGGUGAUCGGCCACACUGGAACUGAGACACGGUCCAGACUCCUACGGGAGGCAGCAGUGGGGAAUUUUGCGCAAUGGACGAAAGUCUGACGCAGCAACGCCGCGUGGGUGAUGAAGGUCUUCGGAUUGUAAAGCUCUUUUGCCAGGGACGAUAAUGACGGUACCUGGAGAAUAAGCCCCGGCAAACUUCGUGCCAGCAGCCGCGGUAAAGCACGA
rnacentral:rRNA from 1 species